CAGUGUCUGAGUCACGGUGGAGGCACCGCCCGAGACGGUGUGGCCUGAGCAGCACUGCCGGCAGCAGCUCUGCGUGGCGUGCUCGGGGUCCCUCCCUCAGCAGCAGGCAGCAAAGAAGGGUAUGAGGGUGUGACAGCAGUCUCCAAGGAGGAAAGGGCUAUGUGAGGUCUGUGCUAGAAAAGGAUUUUACAUUUCUCUUUGGCCUGGCUUGUCUUUUCCAGAUAGUGGCCUUUUUGAUUCAGACCUUCUCAAUAUGGUGGUUGGAUCAUGCUUCCAGUCUCGGGAGCUACACAUGAAGUCAUUCCGUUGGGAAACUGUUGCUAAAGCAGAAAGGUUCUGGGCGGCUGAUGUGGCAUCACGGUCUACAGUGUCUGCCAGCUGUGAGUGACAGCAGGCUAUCACGAUGGAAUAUGGCAGCAGCAGCAGCAGCAACUCCUGAUUUAAGGGCAAAAGAUAUAUAUUUGACUGCCACCUCUAUGCUGGGGAUACCUAAGUGAAGAAGAUGGAAGAGGCCCCGCCCCUGUGGAGUCUGCCGCCCAGCAGGAAACACAGACGCUAUGAAAGGAGACGUGAACCUGGCUGGGAGUUGGGAGACCCGGAUGUAGGUCCCGGCACUGAUCCCCGUGAACCAUAUGGAACUCUGGGCUUCAGUUUAUGUGCUGUAAAAUGAAUGCAUUGGGAUGGAUAACCUCUUCAGUAAUUGAUUGCUCACCUCAUACAUAAGGUCAUGCUGUGUUCCAGUCUGGCCUCGAACUCCUGGCCUCAAGCCGCCCUCCCGAGUGGCUGGGACUACAGGUGCCUGACACUGUGCCUGGCUCAAGUUCUUACGUGACUUAUCUCUUACUAUAUUUACUCUCUGUACCUUUUCCUCUUUCUUGACAUUCUAUCUUCCUGUGGUUGUCUUGAUGCUGUUCUGACUUUGCCUUCUCUGUCUUCCUGGACUUCUCUUUCUCUGUUCUUCACUUGAAACAGUUAUUUUCUUAUUUUGAAAUCUGUGCUCUUCCUUGACAAUCUCAUUCAUAUCCAUGAUUUUAAUUAUGUCUUGUGUGCUGAUAAUGCCUAAAUCACAGCACAUACAAAUCUUCAGGAAAGAAGCAAAGUAUAGACAAAGGAACACUAUCAACCACAAAUAUGUGUCCCUGCAGACUUCUCUGGGGAACUCCUAACUUAUAUCCACUCUCGCAGACACCCCCAGUAUGUUGUCCUGCAGGCCACUCAGCUUGCUGUGGCCCAGCCUGAACUCACGUCCCUCUGAGUUGGCUGCCCUUCCCUGCAUUAUCACAAUGUACACCACCUUUAACCCGACACAUCACAGUUUAUUCAAGUGACGAGUUUAAUUCAUUUGCCUCUCCACUUGAUGGUGAAACCUAAGAAAUAGAAAUAUGUCUUUUGUUUGUGUAUUCCUAAUGCCUACAACAGCAUGAGUCACAUGACAGUUAUGCAAUAAAUGAUUAUUGAAUGAUUGAAUGGUGGACAGAUGACAGCUGUAGGUUGAUAUUCUAUUAAUGUUAUCUCAGUCAGCCCAAUGGGAAGCACCCUUCUUUCCCAGUAACAAGCGUAAGUUCCGGGUGCAUGUUUCUUGGAACGUCUCUGGACAUGUACUGGCUGCUGGAUUAAUCACCACAGCCAGGGAGAUGCAAGACUCUUACUGUCCAGGCCUGAAUUUUGUCCUCAUUCUUAGAGCAAGGGAUGGGGUCAGUGCCACACAUGAUACAGAAACUGAGAAGAGGCAGGGAUGCCAAUAAAAGGAAAAGUGAUGAUUUAUUGCCAGAAGCCAGAGGGCAGGAUACUGGGCUGACAGAAAUGUCAGAUGUUCGUCAUAGGUGUGCACAAACACCCGCGAUACUAGGGAGGGCUGGGCCUGCUCCUGCCAUAUUGGCCGGGUGAGGCGGUUAGGGCUGCCUUCAGUCUCAACACUUCUCUUCGCA